GUACACUAAAUUGAAAGUAUGUUGUGUUGUCUAUUUUCAUCUUAACAGAAUUGUUAUGACAUUUGUGGAAACAUAUCUAAGAAUCAUCAACGGAAUUUGAAGAAUGCUGUGUGUUAUCCUGCCGAUAAUAUAGAAAAUGGACAAGCAUCAAAACAGAAAAGGGGCACAAAGGAAAACACUGUCUCCUUCUCAGCGGUUCAGUCAAAGGCUUUAUCAGAACUUCGUAAGCAGACUGCAGAUAUAUCCGUUGAUGGUGUGAUUUCGCAAAUAGAAUCGGCACAUAAGGACUGGUUUGGUCAAAAAAAGUUGCGAAGUUAUACGACCCGUUGUAUAGAGCUGUGUUGGUUAAUGCACGUACAAACUCCACCUGUUGUUAUUGAUACGUGCGCCAAGCCAGGGUCCAACUUUGAUACUAGAAGAUAUAAACAAUAUACAAAAGCUGGAAAGAAAAUAGAUUUUGUUGUUUGGCCUGUAUUGUUGUUGGACGAAGGGGGAGUUAUUUUGUGUAAAGGAGUUGCUCAAGGAAAAUAGAUGUUAAGUAUCGGCUUCAUACUGUUCCUGCAGCAUAUUCAAAAGCACUGGGAAAUACUCUUUUAAUAUAUAUAUUCAGUUUAUAACAUUUUCGCACACAGUAUCUUAUUAAAAACCAUAUUUAUAAACUACUGUCUAUUCUGGAGUCAGCAUAUACAUUUUAGUUAGCAAACAGUUUGUACAGCUCUGUCUGUGAACUAGAUUCACUAUGUAUGUUUACAUUCCUUGCCUUAGAAAUAAAAAAUACAUGUAACAAUUGCAUGUUUGAAUCUUUGGUAAGCAUGGAAUAACGAUUAUACAUGCAUUCAAUGUAUAAAUAUUCUAAUUUUAGUUUAAAACAUGUUUAAUUAUAAGGAAUACAAAUGUGACUGUUAUCUUUUAAGUGUGUUGAUAAAUUAUUUUUUUAUUCAUAAUCAAAUCAGUCAGUCAUGGAUUUAGUAUUUCAUUAUAAUUUUAACGUUGUUUAGUUUCUUAUGUUAUUACAUAAAAGUUUUGAUAAAAAUGUAUG